GAUGAACGCUGGCGGCGUGCCUAACACAUGCAAGUCGAGCGAACCCUUCGGGGUGAGCGGCGGACGGGUGAGUAACGCGUGGGUAACCUGCCCUGUACACACGGAUAACAUACCGAAAGGUAUGCUAAUACGGGAUAACAUAUGAAAGUCGCAUGGCUUUUGUAUCAAAGCUUUUGCGGUACAGGAUGGACCCGCGUCUGAUUAGCUAGUUGGUAAGGUAACGGCUUACCAAGGCAACGAUCAGUAGCCGACCUGAGAGGGUGAUCGGCCACAUUGGAACUGAGACACGGUCCAAACUCCUACGGGAGGCAGCAGUGGGGAAUAUUGCACAAUGGGCGAAAGCCUGAUGCAGCAACGCCGCGUGAGCGAUGAAGGCCUUCGGGUCGUAAAGCUCUGUCCUCAAGGAAGAUAAUGACGGUACUUGAGGAGGAAGCCCCGGCUAACUACGUGCCAGCAGCCGCGGUAAUACGUAGGGGGCUAGCGUUAUCCGGAAUUACUGGGCGUAAAGGGUGCGUAGGCGGUCUUUCAAGCCAGAAGUGAAAGGCUACGGCUCAACCGUAGUAAGCUUUUGGAACUGUAGGACUUGAGUGCAGGAGAGGAGAGUGGAAUUCCUAGUGUAGCGGUGAAAUGCGUAGAUAUUAGGAGGAACACCAGUAGCGAAGGCGGCUCUCUGGACUGUAACUGACGCUGAGGCACGAAAGCGUGGGGAGCAAACAGGAUUAGAUACCCUGGUAGUCCACGCCGUAAACGAUGAGUACUAGGUGUCGGGGGUUACCCCCCUCGGUGCCGCAGCUAACGCAUUAAGUACUCCGCCUGGGAAGUACGCUCGCAAGAGUGAAACUCAAAGGAAUUGACGGGGACCCGCACAAGUAGCGGAGCAUGUGGUUUAAUUCGAAGCAACGCGAAGAACCUUACCUAAGCUUGACAUCCCACUGAUCUCUCCCUAAUCGGAGAUUUCCCUUCGGGGACAGUGGUGACAGGUGGUGCAUGGUUGUCGUCAGCUCGUGUCGUGAGAUGUUGGGUUAAGUCCCGCAACGAGCGCAACCCUUGCCUUUAGUUGCCAGCAUUAAGUUGGGCACUCUAGAGGGACUGCCGAGGAUAACUCGGAGGAAGGUGGGGAUGACGUCAAAUCAUCAUGCCCCUUAUGCUUAGGGCUACACACGUGCUACAAUGGGUGGUACAGAGGGUUGCCAAGCCGUGAGGUGGAGCUAAUCCCUUAAAGCCAUUCUCAGUUCGGAUUGUAGGCUGAAACUCGCCUACAUGAAGCUGGAGUUACUAGUAAUCGCAGAUCAGAAUGCUGCGGUGAAUGCGUUCCCGGGUCUUGUACACACCGCCCGUCACACCACGGGAGUUGGGGGCGCCCGAAGCCGGUUAGCUAACCUUUUAGGAAGCGGCCGUCGAAGGUGAAACCAAUGACUGGGGUGAAGUCGUAACAAGGUAGCCGUAUCGGAAGGUGCGGCUGGAUCACCUCCUUUCUAAGGAGUAAUUACCUACUGUUUAAUUUUGAGAGUUCAUCUCUCUGUUAGUACUUUUAAGCAACGGGACAUGAACGUAUGUGAAUGGACGUUGGCGACGUACUGUUAGUACUUUGAAAACUGCAUAACAUUUAGUGAUGAUUAAAUAAACCAGUUAUAAGAGAAGACAACUCUUUAAAAAAUAACACUUUUAAUAACUGGUCAAGUUAUUAAGGGCGCAGGGCGGAUGCCUUGGCACUAAGAGCUGAUGAAGGACGCGAUAAGCUGCGAUAAGCUUCGGGGAGUUGCACGUAAACUUUGAUCCGAAGAUUUCCGAAUGAGGAAACUCACUUAGAGUAAUGUCUAAGUAUCAUUAAGUGAAUACAUAGCUUAAUGAGGGGAACCCGGGGAACUGAAACAUCUAAGUACCCGGAGGAAAAGAAAGAAAUUCGAUUCCGUAAGUAGCGGCGAGCGAACGCGGAAUAGCCCAAACCAGUGAAGUUUUCUUUGCUGGGGUUGCGGACACAUCAUCAACGAAGAGGUAUCGUAAAUGAAGAGAGUUGGAAAGCUCCGCUAUAAAGUGUAAUAGCCACGUAGUUGAAACGAGAAGACUUUAGAUGUGAUCCAGAGUACCACGGGACACGUGAAACCCUGUGGGAAGCAGGAGGGACCAUCCUCCAAGGCUAAAUACUACUUAGUGACCGAUAGCGCAU
rnacentral:rRNA from 1 species